rnacentral:rRNA from 1 species
UUUGUCUUUUAAUUUAGGACUGGAAUGAAAGAUUAGACUAAAUAUUUUUGUCUUAUAAUAAUAUUUUGAAAUUAAUAUUUUAGUAAAAAAGCUAAAAUUUAUCUAAAAGACGAGAAGACCCUAUCAAGCUUUACAAAUAAAAUUUAUUUUCAAAAUAAAAUUUAAAUUUGUUUUACUGGGGUAGUAAAUAAAUAAAAUUUUAUUUUUAUAUUAUGAUUUAUUAAUCUUGAGUUAUCAAGAAAUUUUUAAAAAUGAAUAAGUUACUGUAGGGAUAACAGCAUAAUUUUUUUAAAGAGUUCUUAUCAUCAAAAAAGUUUGUGACCUCGAUGUUGGAUUAAGAUUCCUAAUUCGUGCAAUAAUGAAAAAAGGAAGUCUGUUCGACUUUUAAAUUCUUCCA